AUUGAACGCUGGCGGCAGGCCUAACACAUGCAAGUCGAACGAGUGGCGGACGGGUGAGUAAUGUCUGGGAAACUGCCCGAUGGAGGGGGAUAACUAAUGGAAACGGUAGCUAAUACCGCAUACCAUCGGAUGUGCCCAGAUGGGAUUAGCUAGGAGGUGGGGUAAACGCGCACCUAGGCGACGAUCCCUAGCUGGUCUGAGAGGAUGACCAGUCACACUGGAACUGAGACACGGUCCAGACUCCUACGGGAGGCAGCAGUGGGGAAUAUUGCACAAUGGGCGAAAGCCUGAUGCAGCCAUGCCGCGUGUAUGAAGAAGUCCUUCGGGUUGUAAAGUACUUUCAGCGAGGAGGCGUUACUCGCAGAAUAAGCACCGGCUAACUCCGUGCCAGCAGCCGCGGUAAUUC
rnacentral:rRNA from 1 species